rnacentral:rRNA from 1 species
AUUGAACGCUGGCUGCAGGCCUAACACAUGCAAGUCGAGCGGAUGAAGGGAGCUUGCUCCUGGAUUCAGCGGCGGACGGGUGAGUAAUGCCUAGGAAUCUGCCUGGUAGUGGGGGAUAGCGUCCGGAAACGGGCGCUAAUACCGCAUACGUCCUGAGGGAGAAAGUGGGGGAUCUUCGGACCUCACGCUAUCAGAUGAGCCUAGGUCGGAUUAGCUAGUUGGUGGGGUAAAGGCCUACCAAGGCGACGAUCCGUAACUGGUCUGAGAGGAUGAUCAGUCACACUGGAACUGAGACACGGUCCAGACUCCUACGGGAGGCAGCAGUGGGGAAUAUUGGACAAUGGGCGAAAGCCUGAUCCAGCCAUGCCGCGUGUGUGAAGAAGGUCUUCGGAUUGUAAAGCACUUUAAGUUGGGAGGAAGGGCAGUAAGUUAAUACCUUGCUGUUUUGACGUUACCAACAGAAUAAGCACCGGCUAACUUCGUG